rnacentral:rRNA from 1 species
GAGGAAAAGAAACUAACAAGGAUUCCCCUAGUAGCGGCGAGCGAAGCGGGAAGAGCUCAAAUUUAUAAUCUGGCACUUUCAGUGUCCGAGUUGUAAUCUCUAGAAGUGUUUUCCGCGUUGGACCGCACACAAGUCUGUUGGAAUACAGCGGCACAGUGGUGACACCCCCGUACACGGUGCGGACGCCCAGCGCUUUGUGAUACACUUUCGAAGAGUCGAGUUGUUUGGGAAUGCAGCUCAAAUUGGGUGGUAAAUUCCAUCUAAAGCUAAAUAUUGGCGAGAGACCGAUAGCGAACAAGUACCGUGAGGGAAAGAUGAAAAGCACUUUGGAAAGAGAGUUAACAGUACGUGAAAUUGUUGGAAGGGAAACGCUUGAAGUCAGACUUGCUUGCCGGAGCUUGCUUCGGUUUGCAGGCCAGCAUCAGUUUUCCGGGGUGGAUAAUGGCGGUUAGAAGGUAGCAGCUUCAGCUGUGUUAUAGCUUUCCGCUGGAUACAUCCUGGGGGACUGAGGAACGCAGCGUGCUUUUAGCGGGGGUUUCGACCUCUUCACGCUUAGGAUGCUGGUGUAAUGGCUUUAAACGACCCGUCUU